rnacentral:tRNA from 1 species
UCCGUGAUAGUUUAAUGGUCAGAAUGGGCGCUUGUUUCGCGUGCCAGAUCGGGGUUCGAAUUCCCGUCGCGGAG